GAUCUUUCUACAUAAUCCUGGCUGUCCUGAAAUUCGCUAUGUAGACCAGGCUGACCUCAAACUGCCUGCCUCUGUCUAGAUUGCUGGAUUAAAGGUGUGCACAACCACGCCCAGCAAAGAUUCUGGAGCUCAAGCACACAGCUCUGACUGGAGGGCAUGGACCCCGGAAUCCACAUUUCCAUAAAUGUUCUGACGCUGCUGGCCCAGGACCACCGAUGGUUUGAGCAGUAACGUGGGCUCAACUGCAGGUGGCAUCAUCAGAGCUAGAAGACCAUCAGGAUGUGUCAGCAGGGUGAGCUGGUCAGCAUGCUUCCCAGCCAUUGGCUUGCAGGUAAGGCUCUCCACUGGGCAGUUUUAUUUCUUCCCAGCAGAGUCUGGGGUCCCCAACAGAAAGCAGCUGCCCACAUUAAAACUUCAUGGACCAAGGAAUUAGGCUACAUCACUUCUUCCUUGUCCUAUCCAUCAACUUGUUCAGAGGCCCAGGAGAGGGAACAUACACACCCAUCAGAAACUAGAGCAAACCUGCUUUAGAACUAUCAGACUUCUAUAUCACUCAGCUUCAGCACCCUUUUAACAGUCGUUUUGCUUGUAUUUUUCAUGUUUUAUUUGCUAUGUCCCAGGAAUAAUAAAUCAGUUCCUUCUAUUUUAGCACCAUGUUCCUUUGUGCUAGGGCUUCAUGAACCAGCCUCUUUGUCCUACACAGGAACCUCUGAGAGUUAAAUAGUUUCAUAUUCUUGUGCUUGUUUAUUUUGAGUCUGUGUUAAGAUAGCACUUUCCUAUGCAGACCAGACUGUUGUGGAAUAUUACUGUAACUAUGUGAAGAUGUGUUCCAUUUGUAAUGCUGUAUUUGUUUAACUAUGUGAAGAUGUCCUGCUUUUGUUUGUGCUGCAUUUAAUUUGUAAAGAUUUGUAAAUGUCUGUUUGUAAAGAUGUUGUGUUUAUGCCGCACUUGUAAAGAUGUGUUGCUGUUUUACCUUGUCUACCUCAGGCACAUGACUGGUCUAAUAAAAAGCUGAGCAGUCGAUAGCUAAACAUUAGAGGGCUAGGUGGAGCUGGCAGAGAUAAUAAAUAGGAGGCAUCUCAAGGAGAGAGGGAGACACCAGGAGCCAGACAGGCACAGAGGAUGCAGGAAAAUAGGAUAGUAGUAAGUCUCCAUGUCAUAAUUUGGGGUCGAGGUCCAAGACUGCCUGCUACACAAGAAACAAAAGUGCUUAUGUUGGGUUCUUGUUGUUUUCAGAUCUUUGAAAUAUGCCAUACACAUGAAGAUCAGAUAAAGAUUAGGUGUGAGAUCUCCUAGAGCUGAAGUUAUAUGCCAAUGCUUAUAAUAACCACCAAGCAUCCCUCCAGCCUACCCUGUUUUAAGGUACUGCCCUCUAGGUCUUUUCCACAGCUGAAACCAUUAGCACGUCUGCCAUGUCAUUCUACAGUAUGUUAGCUCAAACCUUAAGGCCCUUGCAGUUCUACAUCAUGAACUGCAUUAAUUUGUGGCCAAAAUCAGUUUUUCAAAACUACUGGAUUUUACUACAUUUUAAAUUUGUUAUUCAAUAGCUGAGCAAUAGUAGUUAUUUUUAGAUAUAUGGAUGUUUUGCCAGCAUGCAUAUCUGUACCACUUCUGUGUCUCGUGCAUGAAGGGACUAGAGGAGGGAGUUACACGUGGCUGUGAACCACCCAUGUGGGUGCUGGAAAUGAAACCCAGGUUCUCAGGAAGAGCGGCCAGUGCUCUCAAACACAGAGCCAUCUGCCCAUCACCCAGGCAGUCAUUUUUUUAUAUAUUAGGCUUGGUGUGGUGGGACAGGCCAGAUCCCAGAGGCAGAAUGAUUCUAGAGCCCCAGGCCAACCUAGACUACGUAGUAACUGUCUUACAAAACAAACAUGCAUACCCAGACUAGAAGCAUAAGGGCUUGUGCGGCAAGGUAUCUCACACCUUUAAUCACAGCACUCAGGAGGCAGAUCUCAAAUUCAAAGCCGGGUUGGUCCACAUAAAGAGUUCUAGAAUACACAGAGAAAUCCUAUCUAAAAGAAAAAAGAAAGUUUUCACUAUAGCCAUUUGGAAAUAUAUUUUGUCAUUCUGCCUGAAGGCUGAAGCAUGGAAAAGCUGGCCUUUUACAACUAUGGGUUUUUAAAAAAAAAGAACAGUGGGAAGAUGCUGCAGGAGAGAUGGUUCAGUUUCCAGAAUCCCUGUAGGGUGACUCACAACUGAUUGACACCAGCUCCAGGGAAAUCCAAUGCCCUCUUCUGGCCUCAAAGGACACUGUACUCAUAUGCUAGUAUACUAUUUAAAAUAAAAAUAAAAUAUUCCAGAGCCAGGCAUGACGCUGCAUGCCUUCAAUCCCAGCAUUUAGGAGGCAGAGGCAGGCAGAUCUCU